AAACGAUUGAAGUCAGUCGUGUCCAGUGGGUUCAGCCAGUUCUGCUGGUGUAUUCCCUCUGGACGGGUCAACAUCAGUUUUGACCGACGGAUAAGGGCGAGGGGAAUGUGGCACCGUCCGCGGUGUGUUAUAGCCCCUUGUCACAUACGCCGGUCGAGACUGAGGAUCGCAGCUCGCCGCAAGGCCGGGGUUCGCCCACGUCCGAGCUUAGGAUGUUGACAAAAUGGCUUUAAACGA
rnacentral:rRNA from 1 species